GAUGAACGCUGGCGGCGUGCUUAACACAUGUAAGUCGAACGAGAACGGAUUAUAGCUUGCUAUAAUUGUCAGCUAAGUGGCGCACGGGUGAGUAAUGUAUAGGUAAUAUGCCUCUUACUAAGGGAUAACAAAUGGAAACGUUUGCUAAUACCUUAUACUCCUUAUUAACAUAAGUUAAUAAGGGAAAGAUUUAUUGGUAAGAGAUUAGCCUGUAUUGUAUCAGUUAGUUGGUGGGGUAAUGGCUUACCAAGACUAUGACACAUAACUGGUUUGAGAGGAUGAUCAGUCACACUGGAACUGAGACACGGUCCAGACUCCUACGGGAGGCAGCAGUGGGGAAUAUUGCACAAUGGACGAAAGUCUGAUGCAGCAACGCCGCGUGGAGGAUGACACAUUUCGGUGCGUAAACUCCUUUUAUAUGAGAAGAUAAUGACGGUAUUAUAUGAAUAAGCACCGGCUAACUCCGUGCCAGCAGCCGCGGUAA
rnacentral:rRNA from 1 species